rnacentral:rRNA from 1 species
ACGCUCGACACCUACGGGAGCAGCAGUGGGGAAUAUUGCACAAUGGGGGGAACCCUGAUGCAGCGACGCCGCGUGAGUGAAGAAGUACUUCGGUAUGUAAAGCUCUAUCAGCAGGGAAGAAAAUGACGGUACCUGACUAAGAAGCCCCGGCUAACUACGUGCCAGCNCGCCGUAGUAUNGNGGCGNGNGAGAG